rnacentral:rRNA from 1 species
GUACACGCUGUGACUAGCAUAUCAAUAAGCGGAGGAAAAGAAACUAACAAGGAUUCCCCUAGUAACGGCGAGUGAAGCGGGAAGAGCUCAAAUUUGAAAUCUUAAAGGGUUUCCCUCUACGAAUUGUAGUUUAAAGAAGUGUUUUCUGUUGAGGUUUUGGUAAAAGUUCUUUGGAAUAGGACAUCAUAGAGGGUGAGAAUCCCGUAUUUGACCUUUACUUUCAACUUUGUGAUACACUUUCAAAGAGUCGGAUUGUUUGGGAAUGCAGUCCAAAAUGGGUGGUAAAUUUCAUCUAAAGCUAAAUAUUGGCGAGAGACCGAUAGCGAACAAGUACCGUGAGGGAAAGAUGAAAAGAACUUUGAAAAGAGAGUUAAACAGUACGUGAAAUUGUCAAAAGGGAAGCGUUUGACACCAGUGUUGUUUUUCUGAAAAUCAAUUAAAGAACUGUUUAUGCUAAGCUGUUUAGACUUUAUCAGCUAUCUGUUUAGUUUUGAGCUUUUCUUUAAUGCACUUUUCAGUUAACAAGUCAACAUCAAUUUCUUUUGCUGUAAAAAAGCUUGAGGAAGGUGGCUUGAGAUUCGUCUUAAGUGUUUAUAGCCUCUUGCCUAUGCAGUCGGAGAGAUUGAGGUCUGCAGCGUAGAUCCUUCGGGGCUAAAUGCAUUUGUGCUAAGUUAUAGCAUUUUAUAGACAACUUGUUGACUAUGAUUUGUCUUGUAGCUUACUCGCUUACGUUAUUUUACCUACGCUUAGGAUGUUGACUGAUAUGUAGUCGUA